GACGAACGCUGGCGGCGUGCCUAAUACAUGCAAGUAGAACGCUGAAGAGAGGAGCUUGCUCUUCUUGGAUGAGUUGCGAACGGGUGAGUAACGCGUAGGUAACCUGCCUUGUAGCGGGGGAUAACUAUUGGAAACGAUAGCUAAUACCGCAUAACAAUGGAUGACACAUGUCAUUUAUUUGAAAGGGGCAAUUGUUCCACUACAAGAUGGACCUGCGUUGUAUUAGCUAGUAGGUGAGGUAAUGGCUCACCUAGGCGACGAUACAUAGCCGACCUGAGAGGGUGAUCGGCCACACUGGGACUGAAACACGGCCCAGACUCCUACGGGAGGCAGCAGUAGGGGAUCUUCGGCAAUGGGGGCAACCCUGACCGAGCAACGCCGCGUGAGUGAAGAAGGUUUUCGGAUCGUAAAGCUCUGUUGUAAGUCAAGAACGGGUGUGAGAGUGGAAAGUUCACACUGUGACGGUAGCUUACCAGAAAGGGACGGCUAACUACGUG
rnacentral:rRNA from 1 species